rnacentral:rRNA from 1 species
CAAUAGCGUAUAUUAAAGUUGUUGCAGUUAAAAAGCUCGUAGUUGGAUUUCUGGUGGGAGCGAUCGGUCUGGCGCUUAGCGCGAGUACUUGCAUCGUCUCCGGCCAUCCUUGGGGAAAGUCUGUCUGGCAUUAAGUUGUCGGGCAGAGGAUCCUCAUCGUUUACUGUGAAAAAAUUAGAGUGUUCAAAGCAGGCUUAUGCCGUUGAAUAUAUUAGCAUGGAAUAAUAAGAUAGGACUUUGGUACUAUUUUGUUGGUUUGUGCACCAAAGUAAUGAUUAAUAGGGACAGUUGGGGGUAUUCGUAUUCCGUUGUCAGAGGUGAAAUUCUUGGAUUUACGGAAGACGAACUACUGCGAAAGCAUUUACCAAGGAUGUUUUCAUUAA